CUACGGGGGGCUCCAGUGGGGAAUAUUGCACAAUGGAGGAAACUCUGAUGCAGCAACGCCGCGUGGAGGAUGACACUUUUCGGAGCGUAAACUCCUUUUAUAUAGGAAGAAGAUGACGGUACUAUAUGAAUAAGCGCCGGCUAACUCCGUGCCAGCAGCGCGCGGUAAUACGGAGGGCGCAAGCGUUACUCGGAAUCACUGGGCGUAAAGAGCGUGUACGCGGAUUAAAAAGUCAGAAGUGAAAUCCUAUAGCUUAACUAUAGAACUGCUUCUGAAACUCUUAAUCUAGAAUAUGGGAGAGGUAGAUGGAAUUUCUGGUGUAGGGGUAAUAUCCGUAGAGAUCAGAAGGAAUACCGAUUGCGAAGGCGAUCUACUAGAACAUUAUUGACGCUGAGACGCGAAAGCGUGGGGAGCAAACAGGAUUAGAUACCCGCGUAGUC
rnacentral:rRNA from 1 species